rnacentral:rRNA from 1 species
UGGCAGGUCAGCAUACUGCCGUGAAUACGUUCCCGGGCCUUGUACACAUCGCCCGUCACACCAUGAGAGUUGGGAAUACCCGAAGCCUGUGAGCUAACUUAUAGAGGCAGCAGUCGAAGGUAGAAUCAAUGAUUGGGGUGAAGUCGUAACAAGGUAUC